CUACUAUACAUAAUAGCUGCUGAGGUAGUGGGAGACCUAUCAGUCUCAAACUCUGUACCCCCUGCGCAGUAGCUGGUACAAAUGUGUGUUGGGAACUGAGUUUUUUUAAGCAAACUCUAAAUCUGAACUGGGUUUGGAUGAUGUGACUGAAACAGGACUGGGUCCUGUGAGAAAGUCUCAGGUACCUGAGUCAGCUUCAUUUUACCCAGUUAUGGGGGCUGGAUUAUUUCCUAGCCGAAUGGAGUGGCUUCUCAGCCAUUGCUGAAACGUCUGGUUCCACAUGACGCACGUUGGACUGUCAAGACUCUUACACAUCAGGUCCUCACAGACUCCCUGGUGCACUGUGUCCUCAUGAGCGGCCAGGUCUUUCUUCUGCCUCAUUUGUGUGACCAUGCAGACGCCACACUGCAAAUCCAGGGUGCCCUAAGCUCCCGUCACCCUGACGUGGUGGCUGUGAUACUAAAAGGGAGUGGAUUGCUCAAUAAAGAUGGCGGUGGCCAUGGCGUCGGGCUGGCACUCACAAGAACCACUCCAACCUAGACGUUAGCUACAGUGACUGAGCUUUGGUUGGAGCCCAUAGCCCAUCCUACUCUGUGAACAGCUAACUGGUUAAGCUGUAACUGGCUGACUAGUUGGCCAACUAGGUUUUUGUCUAUGCCACGCGCGUGUUUGUGUCACUGCUGUCUGGUCCUGUUGUUGGAGUUCUCAGAACCUGCUCUCUUGUUCCGCCUGCUCCAAUAAACCACAGAGCUUAGUGGGAUGAAGGGACUUUCAGCUGUGUGGGAUGAGGGGCAGCAGAUACCUGGGCCAAGUGCUGUUGGCGGAUGCACAGAGAUGGCCAACCCUUGCUCUGACACACAAGACUUCUGUCCUUUAAGAUUGUCCAGCACUGGGUCCUGCAGGAAGCAGCUGGAGUGAAUGAGGAGCAGGUGUGCCCAGGACAGGGCUCUGGCUCCCCCUGUGACCUCACUAGGACCAGCCUUCGAGUCCCAGCCUCUUUGUUCACUGCCCUGGGCCUCACCUCUCUCUGAUCUGGGGCACCAGCUACACCUUUGGGCUGAAAGAGAUGGGUGUCUGGCCGAGCGGUGGAGCAUCCUUGCCAUCCCUGACAGUUCAAGGACAGCAUGGGCUACACAGUGAGUGUCAGAGACGAGGGGAGAACUGAGGUCUAAUUGGCCGUCUCUGAGCACAAAGGGGAAAGGUUGUACUUGGGGUGACUGCAUAUUGCAGGUUUUAGGGAAAACUUAAGACAGCUGAGGUUGGGCCAGGAUUUAGCUCAGUGGUUCCACUGCCUGCCUCGAAAGCGCAAGGUCCUGAGUUCGA